rnacentral:rRNA from 1 species
CCUACGGGUGGCAGCAGUGAGGAAUAUUGGUCAAUGGGCGCAAGCCUGAACCAGCCAAGUCGCGUGAGGGAUGACUGCCCUACGGGUUGUAAACUUCUUUUAUAAAGGAAUAAAGUGAGGCACGUGUGCCUUUUUGUAUGUACUUUAUGAAUAAGGAUCGGCUAACUCCGUGCCAGCAGCCGCGGUAAUACGGAGGAUCCGAGCGUUAUCCGGAUUUAUUGGGUUUAAAGGGUGCGUAGGUGGGUUGUUAAGUCAGUUGUGAAAGUCUGUGGCUCAACCGUAGAACUGCAAUUGAUACUGGCAGUCUUGAGUAUGGUUGAGGGAGGCGGAAUGCGUGGUGUAGCGGUGAAAUGCUUAGAGAUCACGAAGAACACCGAUUGCGAAGGCAGCCUACUAAACAAAGACUGACGCUGAUGCUCGAAAGCGUGGGGAUCAAACAGGAUUAGAUACCCGUGUAGUC